GGGAAAUGAGUCACAACCAUGUAGAAGAGCCACUCCAUCUUCUUGAAGCAUUUAGAACAAGACUUGUUUCACAACAGAGUGAAGUACGGAGCUUUCACCGUACUUGCACACCUCAAUGGCUAAAAAGGAAGAAAAGUAUAAGCAAUGAACGCGUUAACAUGAAAAGCUACAUUCACUCUUUUCGUUCAGUAACCGAUCUUAAAGCAAAAGGUAUUCAAUUCAAGCCUAGCUGCACUCAUUCACUCAAGGACAUAAAGUUCAAAUCAAGAUACUUCUAUGGACAGCUUGUACUUCCAACUUGGUAUGUUUCUAUCUACACUAAGGCGUUCUUCUUAAACAUGAUAGCCUACGAGAUGUGUCCAAAUACAGUUACUGAUCGCGCUGUGACAUCAUACGUAUACUUCAUGAAAUCACUAAUAGAGAGUCCAAGGGAUGUCAAGGAACUACGCGAAAUGCAAAUACUAUUCAACAUGCUUGGUAGCGACGAGGAAGUGGCAAGAAUGUACAAAGAGAUCAAUACGUAUGGAGUGAACAACGCGCACAUUUUCUACAAUGUGAAAGAAAAGAUUCAAGAACACUAUAAUAACAAGGCGAAAACAUGGAUAGCAGAGCUUAUACACACUUACUUUAGGAGUCCAUGGACUGCUUUAGCAUUACUUGCAGCUACUUUCUUGCUUUGCUUGACUUUUACACAAACUUAUUUUACAAUAAAUCCCAAUCCUAGAUUAUGAGAAAAUA
rnacentral:lncRNA from 1 species